CGAUGGGAUUAGCUAGUAGGUGGGGUAACGGCUCACCUAGGCGACGAUCCCUAGCUGGUCUGAGAGGAUGACCAGCCACACUGGAACUGAGACACGGUCCAGACUCCUACGGGAGGCAGCAUG
rnacentral:rRNA from 1 species